GACGUAGGGCGCGAGCGUGUCCGGAUUUAUUGGGCGUAAAGAGCUCGUAGGCGGUCUGUCACGUCGGCUGUGAAAACCCGAGGCUCAACCUCGGGCCUGCAGUCGAUACGGGCAAACUAGAGUACUGCAGGGGAGACUGGAAUCCUGGUGUAGCGGUGAAAUGCGCAGAUAUCAGGAGGAACACCGGUGGCGAAGGCGGGUCUCUGGGCAGUAACUGACGCUGAGGAGCGAA
rnacentral:rRNA from 1 species